rnacentral:rRNA from 1 species
AUUGAACGCUGGCGGCAUGCCUUACACAUGCAAGUCGAGCGGCAGCGCGGGGGCAACCCUGGCGGCGAGCGGCGGACGGGUGAGUAAUGCAUCGGAACGUGUCCUCUUGUGGGGGAUAACCAGUCGAAGACUGGCUAAUACCGCAUGAGCUCGUAAGAGGAAAGCAGGGGGACCCGCAAGGGCCUUGCGCGAGAGGAGCGGCCGAUGCCCGAUUAGCUAGUUGGNGGGGUAAAAGCCUACCAAGGCGACGAUCGGUAGCUGGUCUGAGAGGACGACCAGCCACACUGGGACUGAGACACGGCCCAGACUCCUACGGGAGGCAGCAGUGGGGAAUUUUGGACAAUGGGGGAAACCCUGAUCCAGCCAUGCCGCGU